rnacentral:lncRNA from 10 species
GAGGUUUACAGGUGGUUGGGGCCUGAGAUGGUAGGAUUCUGCGAUUCGAGAGACAGUCCCGCACAAUAAAGGAUUACCCCGCGGCCCUACAAUCUUGGAGAGUCUUCCUAUACAUUCCUGUGCGUGGAAAAAUCCGUUUGUGGCUAGAACCAAACUCUAUUUUACAUCGAAAUGCUAAGUAUUUUUGCAGUUUUAAUGAACACUUCUUUUUUUUUUCGAGGAAUGCAACUACAUGUAAAUCAAGGCUUGAUUGCACUUCGGUUUGGAGGUUUACCAAGAAUUGUUCACCAUUUGGGAAAACCACGCGCUUCACUGGCCACGCUGCUCCUGGUCCCGGAGACCCAACAAUCUGCAUUUGCUGCCGUCACGUUCAGGCGACUCCCCAGGCGCGGCUACUGGCUACUUCUCUACAUUUUCCAAGGGUAGUAGUGCCAAGCAUUUUCAGAUUGAAAUAUGUACUUUCUUACUUAUUGCUUUCCUUCUAUUUCCUCUUUAUGCUACAGUUAGGGCAUAAUACAGUUUUGUUGUUGUUGUUAAUGGGGUGAGCAGGGGGCUUGUUUUCGAAUAAUUUUACGUCAGGGUGGGAAGUCGGUACUGGGUUGCAGGGGGCUGGGAACCAGCUCCGCAGCCAGGAGAGGCUGCAGACACCGGAGGAUCGGGUUCUGAGAGAGACGCAUACGGACUUGGGGCCGGGGGUGACUCGCCGGGAACUGAGGGCCCGCGACCCUCCCGCCCAAGUGGCACCAAAGGGUGGAAGCCCCCAAAUUAGGAAAAUUCCUUCUCCCCUAGGGCCGCCCCUGGAAGCGGCCGCGGGUGAGUGGCAAGACGCUUACCCGUACCCGACCUCCGCGUGUGGAGCGUUGCCAUAGAGACCGACGCGCCCUGGACGCUACACCCACACAGCCCAGGACGCUAGGCCUUUUCUGGGCCGCCCCCGCCGCCCCAGGCCGAAACUCCAUCCCUUUCCCCCACCCUGCCGAGCUCCCGAAGCCCUGUGGCGGCUCCGGGCAAGAACUAAGGGCGGCCCCUGCAAGCGUACCUGCUCCGCCGGC